rnacentral:rRNA from 1 species
GACGAACGCUGGCGGCGUGCCUAAUACAUGCAAGUAGAACGCAGUUGCGAACGGUUUAGUAACGCGUAGGUAACUGCCUCUUAGCAGGGGAUAAUUCUUGGAAACGAUAGCUAAUCCCGCAUACUGUGAUAUGGACCUGCGUUGUAUUAGCUAGUUGGUGAGGUAAAGGCUCACCAAGGCGACGGUACAUAGCCGACCUGUGAGGGGGAUCGGACACACAGGGAAGGGUACACGGACCAGACGCCGACGGGAGGAAGACGUAGGGAAGCUGCGGAAAUGGAAGGAAGUCUGACCGAGCAACGCGGGGUGAGUGAAGAAGGUUUUCGGGUCGUAAAGAUGUGUUGUUAGAGAAGCGGUAACUAAACAGAAAGGGACGGCUAACUACGUGCCAGCAGCCGCGGUAAUAC